AAAGGGAGACCUAAUUCAGGUAAAAGACGAAAAAAAAGUAGUCGCUACCAGGAAUCAAUCCCAAAAGGUCGGAGCGAGGCGAAAUUGGCUUUCAAACUAGGUUCUGGGUUCAAACAAGACCUGAAUCAGGAACAAGGGCUAUUAGCUCAGGUGGUUAGAGCGCACCCCUGAUAAGGGUGAGGUCCCUGGUUCGAGUCCAGGAUGGCCCACCUGCACAGGUGGCAAAAACAAGAGAAGCGAGGAAUCAGCACCUUAUCUUACUUAUAUAGUAAGAGAGAAUGCUGGCUCUGAGUAAAGAGUCCAGAGGAACCUUGAAAACUGCAUAGAGCUAGGUGAAAAAGCCAAAAAAGAAGACCGCAAG
rnacentral:tRNA from 1 species